CGAGGACCUCUCGGUAUCGCAUUUUGAUAUCACGACGAGCGAUACGAGAAACACGACGAAUAUCCCGAUCCCUCUCGAUCUCAAGCGCCGCGAUUUUGGCCCUCUAAGCAACAACCUGAGUCGUAAGAGCCUCGUUCUCCUGCUGAAUUCUCCUCCAAUCAUCAGUCAAAGCCUUGAUCUUUUCAGCAUCCUUUUUUCCCUCGCGUUUGGUGGCUUCAAGUUCCUCUGAAAGCCUCUUAAUCUCGGAACCAAUGCUUUCAAUCUCCUUGUCAUUCCGAGAAGCCUCGACGCGAUCCUCCAUCACCACAACAUACUCGUUGAAAGAUUCCAUCACCUAAAAAGAAAUCAAAACGGACUAAUAAGCACCUUGAAGCGCAUUUCAGAAGGAAGAGAACGAGAAGCAAACCUUAGAGCUCGCAACCGCAACCUUAGCGUAAGCUUCCUUCUCGGCCGAAGAAGCAAGGGACGGAAGACGACAGCCUGCAGACCUCAUGCGGCCGGCGAGAGAGAUCAAGUCGCCUUCAGCCACAAACAAAGAACCAUCGCCUUCAGGAACAAGCCUAGGACGAGAUGGACCGGGCAAGGUGGCCUUCGACGACUGACGCCGCCUAUGGGUCGCGGCAACGGUCUCAUCUUCUGAACAAGGGCUCAAUGAGAUUGGAGAUUACUCCUCCAAAGAAGCACCUUCAUAUUCGGAGUCCCGAAUCGAGAUCAAAGAAGGUCUAUCAGAAGCUCGGCUCCUUGAUGCCGACCCAGAAGCAUGAAACGACGACCUCCUCACGAGCUGCCUAGCCAGUCGAUCUGAAGAUUGAGCUUGAACGGAAGGGGUCGCAACGACUUCCCGGGAGUGUUCCGCCUCAUCCUCAGAACCCCUAACCCGAGGGGGGCCUGUUGGUCUCUUCUGGCAUGCCAAAAGCAGCUCGAAUCCUAGUCUGAUCAAACAAAGACCAGUUCAAACGACAUCUCCGAAGGACUCCGAUCAGACCACGAAUCUCGUCUGACAUCAAAGAACUUCCGGAAGAAGCUGUAACAAUCAAAGAAAAACGAGAAAUUGAGUCACCAAUUCCCCAAAGAGAAAGAUUGACACUCAGAUUUAAAAACUAACCGAUACUCUCAGCCCAAUUCCGGGGAAGUCGAGAGAAAUCAAAAUCUCCCACAGACGCUCGAUCCACCUUAAAAAAGAAAAACUGCUCGCGCCACUUCUCAUCGCGAUAGGGGACGUCCUCGAUGACGUGGCGACCCGGGAGCGGAGACACAAGGAAGGUACCGGAUUCUGCUUGUUCCGCUUCACCAGAACGAGGUGUCGGAACUCACCGUGGCCGAAAGAAAUACCUUCCUCCCUAGCCCUAACCAAGAACGUAAUAAGGUGCCUAAGAAAAUUUGGGAGGAUUUGAGUAAACGAUAAUCAAAGCUCCGCUAGAAUCUCGAGCACAUGCUCCUGAAUCGGGAAGGUAAGACAGCAAGAGUGAAAGAAAGAAAGAUAGGCUCUGCAAUACCCUCCCCGUACGGUUUCAGGAGUCUCAGUCGCGCCGGCCAAAUCUAGAACGAUGGCGCGAUCAACCUCGUACACCUUGUAGAGAUCCUCAAGAUCAUCGGUCGUAGUCGUUGGACGAGAAAAACUGAACGAUGAAGACAUCUCAAGUUCAGCGAUCAAGAAAUCUUAGAGCAAAAGCAAAAGAGAGAUGAGGAAAAAGAAUCGGAGUUGAAACGAAAAAAGAAAUCUCUCACGUAUUUAUAACCAUCCUAACGGCUAUAUCAUCAUUCUCGAGAAAGAUAAUGAUGACCUAGGCCUCACCCUAGCGGCGGCUAAUAUAGCCGUUACGCGUAAAAAGGAAAAAACGCGCCAAACAACGGUUUUUCAAGAAUCAUCAUUGAUUCAAACCAAAAUCGCAUCGGUUACCAAACGAUGAAACCCGAGUUAAUAACUAACCACCUCUUUUCUUUUCAAUCAAAUCAAAAGAGACUGGGGGACAAAUGUUGGAUCCAAUUUCGGUCAAUACAUUAAUGGGCCACAGUCAAAGAUGUGGGCCAUAAAGAAUUGGAGCCCAUUGCAGGCAUACGAGCUCGAGACGGAGACCUCGAGGUCCCGGAGUUCGCGGAACAGGAUACGGAGAUCGCGGAAUGGUUACGGAGAUCACAAAGUCGACCUACUAUAAAGAGAAGGAGAACACACACGGAGGAGGACACGUUGAAAACCCUAAAAAGAGCUACACCCACACUUGGACCUUGUUUUCAUCGAUCUUUAUAUCUUUUCUCUUAACAAUCUCGUUGUAACAUUCGAUCUUAUUUUACUCAUUGUAUUCGAUCUCGUUCAUCAAUAAAAGUCCAUUUUUGCCUACCGGAAACUGAUUAUAUCGUUGUGUUCUAAAGAUAUCGUUGCCUACAUCAUUUAUCUUCUCCUGAUUUAACUCCCGAUCACUAACAAAUUUUUAGUGUAGAUUUUAGGAUCUAAAACAAUCAUGACACAUGUACAUGUACUAGUGGUCAAACCUGGCAACAAGGACAUUCUAUAAAUACCCACGAAGGCAAACACAAAAAAAGUAAGAAAGGAACCCUGAGAGAGAAAACAUGAAGACGCAAGAGAAAGGAACUCUGAGAGAGAAAAACAUGAAGACGCAAGUGGCCACUUCAGAAGCAGGGGUGAUCUUGUGUGUUGAUCGGCUGAUCCGGGAUCGGCUCCUUUCCAUCUCUCCUUCAAGACCACUGUCUCUGUUGCUGCUUCAGCUAUUCUUCUCCCUCACCUUUCAGCCUCCUUAGAUUUGUUUUUUUCUUUCUUUUGUUCUUGCAUUUCUCUUUUUGUAAUAAGUGGGUUUCCACAACCUUAAAAAACAGAAAAACCUGGUAUAAAUCUUAACUUUUACACCAAAAAAAAACAUGAAGACGCAAGUGAUGAUAGUGGUAGCUCUUCUGAUUCCGGUGGCUUUAUCUUCCAACUCGGACAUGGUGGUGGAGGCUCACUUAGGCCCCGGCGACUGAUACGACGGUUGCACCACCGGCUGCGUCCAGCGUGACCCCAAAAAAACGUCCAAAUGCGAACAUCAUUGCGCCAAACGGUGCGGCCGAGGUAAAUAUACUUUAUAACACUAGAAGAAUAAUGAAACCGGUCCCUACCGUAGGGUGCAGUCUAAUCCACCAUGUAAUGAAACUUUUACGGUGUAUGUCUACUAAGCCCAUCAUAUAUAAGCUGAUUUUGUUUUCCAACUGGGUGAAACCAAAAGGGGUUUUGGAACUGAUGUUGGUGUACUUUUUUAUUGGAGGUGGUAAAAGAGCAAGUGGUGAGGUCUGGUGCUUAAACUUUGUAUUCACUAAGAUCUAUAUAUACAAUAUGUUGAAUCGUAUC